rnacentral:rRNA from 1 species
UACGUAGGGUGCAAGCGUUGUCCGGAAUUAUUGGGCGUAAAGAGCUCGUAGGCGGUUUGUCGCGUCUGCUGUGAAAACUCGGGGCUUAACUCCGGGCCUGCAGUGGGUACGGGCAGACUAGAGUGCGGUAGGGGAGACUGGAAUUCCUGGUGUAGCGGUGAAAUGCGCAGAUAUCAGGAGGAACACCGGUGGCGAAGGCGGGUCUCUGGGCCGAUACUGACGCUGAGGAGCGAAAGCGUGGGGAGCAAAGAGG